AGCGUUGUGCAAGCAGGCUCUGGAGACCCGCAGGCUCCUGGGCAGAGGGCUGCCUUCUGUGUGGGCUUGCCCCUCGCCACACCUGGCCAGGAGCCUCCCCCAGCCCCGUGACCCUUGUGUCAGAGCCUGGCCAGAUGACAGACGGCCUGGGGUGCAGGCGAGACCCACUGAACUGGCAGCUGAGGACAGGUCCAGGCCCAGUGGCUGGGGGACUUCUCAGAGCAGGUACCACAACAGCUACCCAAGGACUCAGGACUUUUCUCCCACAGCCAGACUUGGUGAUUGCAUGAAGGAGCCCAGCCUCGGAUGACCUUUCCCCGUGACAAGGCACUAGGAGAGCACAGACCUCCCCACACAAACACUGAGACACCCAACCUUGCGUGACCUUGAGCCAAACACAACUCUUAGGAUGUAACCUGCUUUACAAGAUGAGAAAGACACGAGUAAAAACAUCAGCAGACUCUGGAAGAGUCAGUAAACAAACAAGCUGUCCUUGGAGCAAGCAAGCGCUUCCCUUUCGGCAUCUCCCCCUCUCUGAGCGGCAGCCCUGCAAGUGAGGCCAAUAGCCGUCCCUCAGCUGUGUACAGGACAGGCAUUCUUGGACCUCAGAGUCCUGCAGUAGCAUUUUGAGGACGCCAAGUUAUUGAUGGGGACAGGUGCUCAUAAUUCAGCAUAACCCACCCAAGCCGUGUUUCACUUUUUCUGGAAACCUCUUGAUUUAGGAAUGAAAGCCCCUGGCUCCCCCUGGGCUGGGCUGGCCAGUAAACAUCUCAGUCUGAGUUUGCCGAGGUGGGUUGCUAAAUUUAAUUGCCAGUUUCCACACCAUGUGAUGGUGUGUGACAGGCCAGCUCACCCUGUGAGUUAGCCAAGGGGUUUUAAAUAAAUGCUUUCUGACGGAAAGGAUGAUAAAGGUUCCUAUUAUUCACCAGUGAGCCUGGAGACUGAGCUGGUCCGGUUUUUACGACUGAGGCACAGCAAUGUCAAUCUCAUGCUCUCUGUCACUACUUCCCACUGUGGCUUGACUAGGACAGCCUUAAGCGGCCUGCAGAAAGAGCUCCAGCCGGGUAGUCAGGAGACCUUUGCCAGCCCGAUCCGUCCAAGGUUUCUGUGACCUUGGAAGGCAAAUAGCUCUAUGGGCCAGCGUCAGCCUCUGCGUCUGCAGAGAGGAGUGCUUCACAGGUCAUGCUUGGGGCUUUCAGGAAGCAUGUAAUAGAUAUGCAAAGGCAUUGCUGUUGGUGAAACAUCCGUGGAACACCAGGCAACAAACCACUAAAAGCAGCAUUUUUCUUGCUCCGAUCCUUUAAAAUAUCGAUGGAGAUAAACUGAUGCUGCUAUUUGUGUUUUCCUUGACUAUUUCCUUACGAAGCCCUGCAGUCACCGAAUGCUCACUCAACCUUCCUUCAAAAGUGAUUCAACGUGUGGCCUGAGAAGCGGCAGCAUCAGCCUCACCUGGGCGUUGGUGAGAACGGCAGCAUCUUGGCCUCUCCUGCUGAAUCAGAGCGCGCUGCUUAACACGCUCCCGGGUGACUCGUACGUAGUCAGUGCUGGGAAGCGCUGGUCUACAGUCAUGUUUCUCAAGCUUGAAUGCACAUCCGAAUCCCCCGGAAGGUUUGCUAAAGCCUUGCUGGGCCCCACCCCCACGUUUCUGAUUCAGCAGGUGUGGGUCGGGGUCUGCGAACUUGCAUUUUUAGAAAGUUUUCUGGUGAUGGUGAUGCCUCUGGUCCAGGACCACACUUUGAGAACUUCUGGUCUUUCUUGAGCAGCUGUUUAGUGAUACCUUCAUUCCCACGUCACUAAGGGUGCAUAACGUCUCUUCGUUAUGUACUCUGGCUUCCUCAAUCCCUGGAAUUACUGUGGUAUCCUCGUGAUAUAUCUUCAUUUCUUCCUCUUUAAUCAUCCUUGAUCUCCCCCUUGAUUUCAAUAUGUGUUUAUCUCUCUUUCAUUAGGAAGCUCUAGACACAGAAAACCAGACAGCUCGGUGCUGUGCAAAAAUGGGAGGAUUUCAUGAAAAUCCUACUUUUUUCUCCCAUGUAGUUGUUUUAAAAUUCCACUUGUUUUUUGUUUGUUUG